UUAAUUGAAUCCAAAAAAGAGGUAAAUUAUUGUUAAUAAUUCUAUUGAAUAAUUUAAAUAUUCCAAUUAAA
rnacentral:tRNA from 1 species